rnacentral:rRNA from 1 species
UUGACCUCAAAUCGGGUGAGACUACCCGCUGAACUUAAGCAUAUCAAUAAGCGGAGGAAAAGAAACUAACAAGGAUUCCCCUAGUAACUGCGAGUGAAGCGGGAAAAGCUCAAAUUUAAAAUCUGGCGGUCUUUG